rnacentral:rRNA from 1 species
CGUGGGCAACCUGCCUGUAAGACUGGGAUAACUUCGGGAAACCGAAGCUAAUACCGGAUAGGAUCUUCUCCUUCAUGGGAGAUGAUUGAAAGAUGGUUUCGGCUAUCACUUACAGAUGGGCCCGCGGUGCAUUAGCUAGUUGGUGAGGUAACGGCUCACCAAGGCAACGAUGCAUAGCCGACCUGAGAGGGUGAUCGGCCACACUGGGACUGAGACACGGCCCAGACUCCUACGGGAGGCAGCAGUAGGGAAUCUUCCGCAAUGGACGAAAGUCUGACGGAGCAACGCCGCGUGAGUGAUGAAGGCUUUCGGGUCGUAAAACUCUGUUGUUAGGGAAGAACAAGUACGAGAGUAACUGCUCGUACCUUGACGGUACCUAACCAGAAAGCCACGGCUAACUACGUGCCAGCAGCCGCGGUAAUACGUAGGUGGCAAGCGUUAUCCGGAAUUAUUGGGCGUAAAGCGCGCGCAGGCGGUUUCUUAAGUCUGAUGUGAAAGCCCACGGCUCAACCGUGGAGGGUCAUUGGAAACUGGGGAACUUGAGUGCAGAAGAGAAAAGCGGAAUUCCACGUGUAGCGGUGAAAUGCGUAGAGAUGUGGAGGAACACCAGUGGCGAAGGCGGCUUUUUGGUCUGUAACUGACGCUGAGGCGCGAAAGC